GAUGAACGCUGGCGGCGUGCCUAAUACAUGCAAGUCGAGCGAACAGACGAGGAGCUUGCUCCUCUGACGUUAGCGGCGGACGGGUGAGUAACACGUGGAUAACCUACCUAUAAGACUGGGAUAACUUCGGGAAACCGGAGCUAAUACCGGAUAACAUGUUGAACCGCAUGGUUCAACAGUGAAGGACGGUCUUGCUGUCACUUAUAGAUGGAUCCGCGCCGCAUUAGCUAGUUGGUAAGGUAACGGCUUACCAAGGCAACGAUGCGUAGCCGACCUGAGAGGGGGAUCGGCCACACUGGAACUGAGACACGGUCCAGACUCCUACGGGAGGCAGCAGUAGGGAAUCUUCCGCAAUGGGCGAAAUCCUGACGGAGCAACGCCGCGUGAGUGAAGAAGGUCUUCGGAUCGUAAAACUCUGUUAUUAGGGAAGAACAAAUGUGUAAGUAACUAUGCACGUCUUGACGGUACCUAAUCAGAAAGCCACGGCUAACUACGUG
rnacentral:rRNA from 1 species